UUUGUCCACUUUUGAGCAGA
rnacentral:miRNA from 1 species